AGGGUGCCAAACGGCAACACGCCAGUGAGAGUGGCGACGGGAACAUGGUCGCUCCCGACGUAGGGCACUCUAUCCAAUUUUGUGAGACCCCC
rfam:Omsk hemorrhagic fever virus, complete genome